GAUUCCCUGAGUAACGGCGAGCGAAAAGGGAAGAGCCCAGCGCCGAAUCCUCCGCUCGCAAGGGCGUGGGGAAAUGUGGCGUUUAGGAGUGAGCGUGCCGGUGGUUGAUUCUGCAGCAAGUCCCCCUGACCGGGGCUGUUACCCAGAGUGGGUGCGAGGCCCAUAGCUGCUAAGUCUCCUCCGGAUGCGAUCUCCUUGGAGUCGGGUUGCUUGGGAGUGCAACCCUAAUCGGGUGGUAAACUCCACCUAAGGCUAAAUACUGCCGUGAGACCGAUAGCAAACAAGUACCGUGAGGGAAAGUUGCAAAGAACUUUGAAGAGAGAGUUCAAGAGUACGUGAAACUGCUCAGAGGUAAACGGGUGGGCCCUCGAAAUCCUGUGGCGGGAGGAUUCAGUCGGGAGGCGUGGACUCGGCUGCCGGAAUUAUUUAAUGGAUCCCGCGAGACGGGCCGUUCCGGUGUCGUGCAUCCGUGCCNCCCGACGCAUUUGUUUCCCGUCCGAAGGACGCCGAAACCGGUUGGGAAACGGCCUUACGGGCGAGAGACGGCAGGUGGCCGGUGGUGUUCCUCUUAGGUUCGCCGCCGGUGUUAGCCAUUUCGCCGCACGGCUCGUGGCCCGACCGUGGUGUCGCGAGGCCCCUCAUGGGCCUCAUCGCCUCCUCCUUUCUNAAAGGUAGCGGGUAGAAGCGUGACAGGAGUUCGACCCCCUGCGGGCGCACGGACCGACUCCGUGGCCCAGCGUCGGGUUGUCUUCGUUGGUUGCGCAGGGCCCGUCGGAGUGUUGGCGGUUAUCGGCGAGUAGAUCGGUCACCCACCCGACCCGUCUUGAAACACGGACCAAGGAGUCUAACAUGUGUGCGAGUCAAUGGGUCUCGAAUAAGCCCAGAGGCGCAAUGAAAGCAAAGGCCGGAUUCAAAGCCGUCUGUGUUGGGAUCCCCGGAUCUUAAAGUCCGGGGCGCACCAACGACCCGUCCUGUUCCACUUGUGGAUUGGGCGGAGUCUGAGCAUACACGUUGGGACCCGAAAGAUGGUGAACUAUGCCCGGGCAGGACGAGGCCAGAGGAAACUCUGGUGGAGGUCCGUAGCGGUUCUGACGUGCAAAUCGAUCGUCAGAUCCGGGUCUAGGGGCGAAAGACUAAUCGAACCAUCUAGUAGCUGGUUCCCUCCGAAGUUUCCCUCAGGAUAGCUGGCGCUCGGAGAUAUCAGUCUCAUCCGGUAAAGCGAAUGAUUAGAGGCCUUGGGGCCGAAACGACCUCAACCUAUUCUCAAACUUUAAAUGGGUGAGAAGUCCGCCUUGCAUGACUGAAGGCCGGACGUUACGGAUGAGAGUGCCCAGUGGGCCACUUUUGGUAAGCAGAACUGGCGCUGUGGGAUGAACCAAACGCCGGGUUAAGGCAUCCGAUGCGAGACGCUCAUGAGACCCCAUGAAAGGUGUUGGUUGCUCUAGACAGUAGGACGGUGGCCAUGGAAGUCGGAAUCCGCUAAGGAGUGUGUAACAACUCACCUACCGAAGCAACUAGCCCUGAAAAUGGACGAUGCUCCAGCGUCGAGCCCAUACCCGGCCGCUGCGGCAGACCUCUAUCUUAUGGAGACUUAAGCCGCAGUGAGUAGGAGGGUCGCGGUGGCGAGCGUGAAGGUGCCGGGCG
rnacentral:rRNA from 1 species